rnacentral:lncRNA from 1 species
GGGACAUUGGGGUGGUGGCACAUGGGGACAUUGGGGUGGCAGCAUUGGGGACAUGGGGGUGGUGGCCCACGGGGACAUUGGGUGGUAGCACCUGGGGACAUGGGGUGGUGGCACAUGGGGAUGGUGGCACAUAGGGACAUUGGGGCAGAGGCACAUGGGGACGUGGGGUGGUGGCACAUGGGGACAUUGGGGUGGUGGCACAUAGGGGUGGUGACACACGGGGACAUUGGGUGGUGGCACAUGUGGACACAGGGUGGUGGCACGUGGGGAUGUGGGGUGGUGGCACCUGGGGACAUUGGGGUGGUGGCACAUGGGGCAUAGGGUGGUGACACAUGGGGUGGUGGCACACAGGGAUAGUGGACAUGGGGACAUGGGGGGGUGGCAUUGGGGACACUGGGUGGUGACAUUGGGGGACAAUGGGAUGGUGGCACUGGGGACAUGGGGUGGUGGCACAUGGGGACAUUGGGGUGGUGGCAUUGGGGACAUUGGGUGGUGGCACAUGCUGUGGUGGCACCUGGGGACGUGGUGGAGGGGUACAUGGGGACAUGGGGUGGUGGCACAUGGGGUGGUGGCACAUGGGGACAUUGGGGUGGUGGCAUUGGGACACUGGGGUGGUGGCAUUGGGGACAUUGGGUGGUGGCACAUGGGGUGGUGGCAUUUGGGGCGGUGGCACAUGGGGAUGUGGGGACGUGAGGACAUGGGGUGGGGGCACAUGGGGACAUUGGGUGGUGGCACAUGGGGACGUGGGGUGGUGGCACAUGGGGACAUUGGGUGGUGGCACGUGGGGUGGUGGCACAUGGGGUGGUGGCACAUGGGGACAUUGGGGUGGUGGCACAUGGGGACAUGGGGUGGUGGCACAUGGGGUGUUGGCACCUGGGGACAUAGGGUGGUGGCACAUGGGGCGGUGACACAUGGGGACAUUGGGUGGUAGCACAUGGGGAUGGUGGCACAUGGGGACAUGGGGUGGUGGCACGUGGGGACAUUGGGGUGGUGGCACACGGGGGUGGUGACACACAGGGACAUUGGGUGGUGGCACAUGGGGACAUUGGGGUUGUGACACAUGGGGACAUGGGGUGGUGGCACAUGGGGACAUUGGGUGGUAGCACAUGGGGAUGGUGGCACAUGGGGACAUUGGGGUGGUAGCAUUGGGGACAUUGGGUGGUGGCACAUGGGGGUGGUGGCACUUGGGGCGGUGGCACAUGGGGAUGUGGGGACGUGAGGACAUGGGGUGGUGGCACAUGGGGACAUGGGGUGGUGGCAUUGGGGACAUUGGGUGGUGGCACAUGGGGAUGGUGGCACAUGGGGACAGGGGGUGGUGGCACGUGGGGAUGUGGGGUGGUGGCACAUGGGGUGUUGGCACGUGGGGACAUUGGGUGGUGGCACCUGGGGACACGGGGUGGUGGCACAUGGGAACGUGGGGUGGUGGCACAUGGGGACAUGGGGUGGUGGCAUUGGCGACAUUGAGUGGUGGCACAUGG